GACUGUCACAACAACAACACGUGCAGAUCCUGCAGAUGAUUUAGGCUUAAAAGCUGUUAAUGUCACUUUGACAGCACAUCUUUCAGCUCAACUGCAAACAAAACUCGACUCACUGUCUGAUAAAACGAGUGUCACGCGACUCACCUAAUAAAUGAUGUGUUGUUGGUUGUAAACUGGUCCGGCUGAAGCAGAGCUCUGGACGUGUGGACAGACAUUGACUGUAAUGAUGGACAUCUGCUCAGGGACAGAAUAAAUUAUGUGAUGUUGGUUGUAAACUGGUCCGGCUGAAGCAGAGCUCUGGACGUGUGGACAGACAUUGACUGUAAUGAUGGACAUCUGCUCAGGGACAGUCUGUGCAAAAGUAUAACCGCUGCGGGUCACGGUGCUGGAAGCUCCAGGGGGAGACCGUACUGAUAUCCCCCUUCUUCGGGCGCGCCUUCACACACACUCCAGCAUUCACUCAUAUCGCAGAGACCUGGCUGGGAUCAAACCAGCAACCUCUGAACCCGUGAGGCAGUGCUCUUACCUGUGAGCCACAGGUCUCUUGUUGGAGUACAUGAGUACAAGAAGUUUACCUGUGAUUUCCCAGUACAGAAGUUAAAGUAACGUGUGUAUGUGGUGGAGAGAUUUGAACCCAUGUCUCCAUCACAAACUCAUACUCAGAAGACGUGUGUUUAUCCACUAAGCCAUCAUGGAUUUCACGUUGUUUUCUGACGUUUGAGUGACUUUGUUGGCUGUGACCAGUUUAAAGUAAGCAAUAAUGGGAUUCAAACCAGGACUUUUAUAUGUGAGAGUGAAACCUUUUACCACUGAGCCACAGAGAUUGUAGGUUUGUACUUGUUUUUAUUUUUAGGCUUGUUUAGAUUUUAAGUUUAAGUUGAGUAAAAGAUGUUACUGCUUCUGUGGGAUUUGAACACAUCUUUGUUGUAGUUUCAUGAUUCAAAGUCACAUGUUUAGCCAACGCACCACUAGGCUUUUAUAUUGUUUGAACCUCAUUUUAGGUUAGACACAAGUAAGUUUAAAACUCUCUAUAUUUGAUUCAGUACUUUCACACCCAAAGGUAAACAAUCCUCUGUACCACAAAGAUUGUGUUUAAGGCACUGUCGUUUUUUUGGUCUUUUACACUAGCAUUUACUACUAUCAGUUUAAUUAUUUGUCAUUUAAACCUCAAC
ensembl:lncRNA